rnacentral:rRNA from 1 species
AGUGGCGAACGGGUGAGUAAAAAAAAAAGAGCUGCCCCCGACUCUGGGAUAAGCCCGGGAAUCUGGGUCUAAUACCGGAUAUGACUUCCUACUGCAUGGUGGGUUGUUGAAAGAUUUAUCGGUGGGGGAUGGACUCGCGGCCUAUCAGCUUGUUGGUGAGGUAAUGGCUCACCAAGGCGACGACGGGUAGCCGGCCUGAGAGGGUGACCGGCCACACUGGGACUGAGACACGGCCCAGACUCCUACGGGAGGCAGCAGUGGGGAAUAUUGCACAAUGGGCGGAAGCCUGAUGCAGCGACGCCGCGUGAGGGAUGACGGCCUUCGGGUUGUAAACCUCUUUCAGUAGGGAAGAAGCGAAAGUGACGGUACCUGCAGAAGAAGCGCCGGCUAACUACGUGCCAGCAGCCGCGGUAAUAACGUAGGGCGCCAAGCGUUAUCCGGAUUUUAUUGGGCGUAAAGAGCUCGUAGGCGGGUUUGUUCGCGUCUGCCGUGAAAAGUCCGAGGGCUCAACCUCGGAUCUGCGGUGGGGUACGGGCAGACUAGAGUGAAUGUAGGGAGACUGGAAAUUCCUGGUUGUAGCGGUGAAAAUGCCGCAAAAUAU